rnacentral:rRNA from 1 species
ACGCAAUAGAUACCCAGGUAGUCCACGCCCUAAACGAUGUCUACUAGUUGUCGGGUCUUAAUUGACUUGGUAAACGCAGCUAAACGCGUGAAGUAGACCGCCUGGGGAGUACGGUCGCAAGAUUAAAACUCAAAGGAAUUGACGGGGACCCGCACAAGCGGUGGAUGAUGUGGAUUAAAUUCGAUGCAACGCGAAAAACCUUACCUACCCUUGACGUGGAUGGAAUCCCUGAGAGAUUGGGGAGUGCCCGAAAGGGAACCAUUACACAGGUGCUGCAUGGCUGUCGUCAGCUCGUGUCGUGAGAUGUUGGGUUAAGUCCCGCAACGAGCGCAACCCUUGUCAUUAGUUGCUACGAAAGGGCACUCUAAUGAGACUGCCGGUGACAAACCGGAGGAAGGUGGGGAUGACGUCAAGUCCUCAUGGCCCUUAUGGGUAGGGCUUCACACGUCAUACAAUGGUACAUACAGAGGGCCGCCAACCCGCGAGGGGGUAGCUAAUCCCAGAAAGUGUAUCGUAGUCCGGAUUGUAGUCUGCAACUCG